rnacentral:rRNA from 1 species
CCUACGGGAGGCAGCAGUAAGGAAUAUUGGUCAAUGGACGAAAGUCUGAACCAGCCAUGCCGCGUGAAGGAUGAAGGCCCUCUGGGUUGUAAACUUCUUUUAUCUGGGACGAAAAAAGCUCAUUCUUGAGCACUUGACGGUACCAGAGGAAUAAGCACCGGCUAACUCCGUGCCAGCAGCCGCGGUAAUACGGAGGGUGCAAGCGUUAUCCGGAUUCACUGGGUUUAAAGGGUGCGUAGGUGGGUUUGUAAGUCAGUGGUGAAAUCUCCGAGCUUAACUCGGAAACUGCCAUUGAUACUAUAGAUCUUGAAUCAUCUGGAGGUAAGCGGAAUAUGUCAUGUAGCGGUGAAAUGCUUAGAUAUGACAUAGAACACCAAUUGCGAAGGCAGCUUACUACGGGUGCAUUGACACUGAGGCACGAAAGCGUGGGGAUCAAACAGGAUUAGAUACCCUGGUAGUCCACGCCCUAAACGAUGGAUACUCGACAUCAGCGAUACACUGUUGGUGUCUGAGCGAAAGCAUUAAGUAUCCCACCUGGGAAGUACGACCGCAAGGUUGAAACUCAAAGGAAUUGACGGCUGAGAGNGCGAGGAGACACGAGGGAGGAGG